UCCAUAAUGUGUAAUAUAUUACUGUCUUAUUGUAAUAUAUUAGUGUCUUAUGUGUAAUAUAUUACUGUCUUAGUGUAGUCCAUAAUGUGUAAUAUAUUACUGUCUUAGUGUAGUCCAUAAUAUGUAAUAUAUUACUGUCUUAUUGUAGUCCAUAAUAUAUUACUGUCUUAGUGUAGUCCAUAAUAUGUAAUAUAUUACUGUCUUAUUGUAGUCCAUAAUGUGUAAUAUAUUACUGUCUUAGUGUAGUCCAUAAUAUGUAAUAUAUUACUGUCUUAUUGUAGUCCAUAAUAUGUAAUAUAUUACUGUCUUAGUGUAGUCCAUAAUAUGUAAUAUAUUACUGUCUUAUUGUAGUCCAUAAUGUGUAAUAUAUUACUGUCUUAGUGUAGUCCAUAAUAUGUAAUAUAUUACUGUCUUAGUGUAGUCCAUAAUGUGUAAUAUAUUACUGUCUUAGUGUAGUCCAUAAUGUGUAAUAUAUUACUGUCUUAGUGUAGUCCAUAAUAUGUAAUAUAUUACUGUCUUAUUGUAGUCCAUAAUGUGUAAUAUAUUACUGUCUUAGUGUAGUCCAUAAUAUGUAAUAUAUUACUGUCUUAUUGUAGUCCAUAAUAUAUUACUGUCUUAGUGUAGUCCAUAAUAUGUAAUAUAUUACUGUCUUAUUGUAGUCCAUAAUGUGUAAAAUAUUACUGUCUUAGUGUAGUCCAUAAUAUAUUACUGUCUUAUUGUAGUCUGUAAUAUGUAAUAUAUUACUGUCUUAUUGUAGUCCAUAAUGUGUAAUAUAUUACUGUCUUAGUGUAGUCCAUAAUAUAUUACUGUCUUAGUGUAGUCCAUAAUGUGUAAUAUAUUACUGUCUUAGUGUAGUCCAUAAUAUGUAAUAUAUUACUGUCUUAGUGUAGUCCAUAAUGUGUAAUAUAUUACUGUCUUAUUGUAGUCCAUAAUAUGUAAUAUAUUACUGUCUUAGUGUAGUCCAUAAUGUGUAAUAUAUUACUGUCUUAUUGUAGUCCAUAAUAUGUAAUAGAUUACUGUCUUAGUAUAGUCCAUAAUAUGUAAUAUAUUACUGUCUUAUUGUAGUCCAUAAUGUGUAAUAUAUUACUGUCUUAGUGUAGUCCAUAAUAUAUUACUGUCUUAGUGUAGUCCAUAAUAUGUAAUAUAUUACUGUCUUAGUGUAGUCCAUAAUGUGUAAUAUAUUACUGUCUUAGUGUAGUCCAUAAUGUGUAAUAUAUUACUGUCUUAGUGUAGUCCAUAAUAUGUAAUAUAUUACUGUCUUAGUGUAGUCCGUAAUAUAUUACUGUCUUAUUGUAGUCCAUAAUAUGUAAUAUAUUACUCUUAUUGUAGUCCAUAAUAUGUAAUAUAUUACUGUCUUAUUGUAGUCCAUAAUGUGUAAUAUAUUACUGUCUUAUUGUAGUCCAUAAUAUGUAAUAUAUUACUGUUUUAUUGUAGUCCAUAAUAUGUAAUAUAUUACUGUCUUAUUGUAGUCCAUAAUAUAUUACUGUCUUAGUGUAGUCCAUAAUAUGUAAUAUAUUACUGUCUUAUUGUAGUCCAUAAUGUGUAAAAUAUUACUGUCUUAGUGUAGUCCAUAAUAUAUUACUGUCUUAUUGUCUUACUCUCUCUCUCUCUUAUCUUCUAGAGAGAAAAAAACACGUCUCAGCACAAGAAGAAUAAGAGAUCAUAUACUAACCUGAGCCCUAGGACCAUACGUCAGGACUACCGGGCAUGACGACUCCCUGCUGCCCCCAGUCCACCUGGCCUUGCUGCUAUUCCAGUUUCAACGGUUCUGCCUGCGGUUACGGAACCCCUACCUGUCCCAGACCUGCUGUUUUCAACUCUUAAUGAUCGGCUAUGAAAAGCCAACAGAUUUAUUCCUGAUUAUUAUUUGACCAUGCUUGUCAUUUAUGAACAUUUUGAAAAUCUUGGCUCUCUCUAAUUUUCUCCUUCUCUCUUUCUUUCUCUCGGAGGACCUGAGCCCUGGGACCAUACGUCGGGACUGCCGGGCGUGGUGACUCCUUGCUGUCCCCAGUCCGCCUGGCCUUGCUGCUGUUCUGCCUGCGGUUAUGGAACCGCCACCUGUCCCAGACCUGUUGUUUUUCAACUCUUAAUGAUCGGCUAUGAAAAGCCAACUGAAUAUUAUUCAUGAUUAUUAUUUGACCAUGCUUGUCACUUAUGAACAUUUUUGAACAUCUUGGCAUAGUUCUGUUAUAAUCUCCACCCGGCAGAGCCAGAAGAGGACUGGCCACCCCUCAUAGCCUGGUUCCUCUCUAGGUUUCUUCCUAGGUUUUGGCCUUUCUAGGGAGUUUUUCCUAGCCACCGUGCUUCUACACCUGCAUUCUAGCUGUUUGGGGUUUUAGGCUGGGUCUCUGUACAGCACUUCGAGACAUUAGCUGAUGUACGAAGGGCUAUAUAAAAUAAACUUGAUUGAUUGAUUGAUAGUC